CGGGGGGGGGGGGAACGCUCAGCAGAAUGUUGCAUCAGGGUGCCAGAUCCCCCAGAGCCGGCCCUGCACAUCAGUUGCCAUUUCUGAGGAAUCUUAGGAGUUUGUAGAUAAUGACCCCGGCCCCAAGAAGUCACAGACAAUAUAUUAGUGGGUAAAAUGGGCCACAGCUUUAUUGAAACUAUUAAACAGGAACACUCCUCCCUUCUUUUGCUGUCAUACACUCCUGCAGACCUGCACCAGUUUCUUUGACUCCUGACCAAAGAAUUAUAGAAUGCCACACACAAUGGACAAAGGCACUUCACCACCAUCCUACUCUAUUACUAGGCAAGUGGCAUAACUUCUCAAACCACAGCACAAAUAUGUUAUAGUAAAGGUGGGGACAACCACAAGAGAAUCUGUAUUGCAUCCAUAUCAGCAGUGGGGCUAUGAGCAUGCUUCAUUAAGGACAUCAGCUGUUCCCUUAUAUGAAGACUGGAGCUCUGCUAGCAGAUCCUCCAAAAUACCAUGGGCACCAUGCAGGAA